CCUACGGGAGGCAGCAGUGGGGAAUAUUGGGCAAUGGGCGCAAGCCUGACCCAGCGACGCCGCGUGGGGGAUGAAGGCCUUCGGGUCGUAAACCCCUGUCAGGAGGGAAGAAGCGGGCUUUGCCCGUGACGGUACCUCCAGAGGAAGCCCGGCUAACUACGUGCCAGCAGCCGCGGUAAUACGUAGGGGGCUAGCGUUGUCCGGAUUCACUGGGCGUAAAGCGCACGCAGGCGGCCCAGUAAGUCGGACGUGAAAUCCCACGGCUCAACCGUGGAAUUGCGUUCGAUACUGCUGGGCUAGAGGACGGGAGAGGAAGGUGGAAUUCCCGGUGUAGCGGUGAAAUGCGCAGAUAUCGGGAGGAACACCAGUGGCGAAGGCGGCCUUCUGGCCCGUUCCUGACGCUCAGGUGCGAAAGCCAGGGGAGCAAACA
rnacentral:rRNA from 1 species